GAUGAACGCUGGCGGCGUGCCUAAUACAUGCAAGUCGAGCGCACAGACUAGGUGCUUGCACCUCGCACAUGAGUGGCGAACGGGUGAGUAACACGUGGGUAACCUGCCUGGUAGAGGGGGAUAACUAUGGGAAACCGUAGCUAAUACCGGAUAACAGAUUAUAUCGCAUGGUAGCUUCUUGAAAGACGGUAAUGCACCAAUAUAUAGAUGGACCGCGUUGUAUUUGCCUAGUGGUGAAGUAAAGGCCCAACCAGGCAAAGAUACCUAGCCGACCUGAGAGGGGGAUCGGCCCCAAUGGGACUGGGACACCGCCCCGACUUCUACGGGAGGCAGCAGUAGGGAAUCUUCGGCCAUUGACCGAAGGCUGACCGGGCAACGCCGGGUUAGGGAAGAAGGUUUUCGGAUCCUAAAGCUCUUGUGUAAGGGAAGAACGAGUUUUGGAGGUGAAAGUGCACACUGUGACGGUAUCUUACCAGAAAGGCACGGCUAACUACGUG
rnacentral:rRNA from 1 species